AGCAGCCGCGGUAAUUCCAGCUCCAAUAGCGUAUAUUAAAGUUGUUGCAGUUAAAAAGCUCGUAGUUGAAUUUCGGGAUCAGUACGCCGGUCGUGCUUCGGUAUGUACUGGUGUCACUGAUCCCUCCCUUCUGACGAACCGUUAUGCCAUUUAUUUGGUGUGGCGAGGAAUCAGGACUGUUACUUUGAAAAAAUUAGAGUGUUUAAAGCAGGCUCACGCUUGAAUACAUUAGCAUGGAAUAAUGAAAUAGGACGUUUGAUUCUAUUUUGUUGGUUUCUAGGAUCGACGUAAUGAUUAAUAGGGAUAGUUGGGGGCAUUAGUAUUCAAUUGUCAGAGGUGAAAUUCUUGGAUUUAUUGAAGACUAACUACUGCGAAAGCAUUUGCCAAGGAUGUUUUCAUUAAUCAAGAACGAAAGUUAGGGGAUCGAAGACGGUCAGAUACCGUCGUAGUCUUAACCAUAAACUAUGCCGACUAGGGAUCGGAUGAUGUUAAUUUUUUAAUGACUCAUUCGGCGCCUUAA
rnacentral:rRNA from 1 species